CAAGCAAGACUGCUGCAAACCAAGGCCACUAGGCACACAAGGAACACUGCGCGCCACGACGAUUCUCAGCCAAUUAUAGUCAAGCGACGUCCAAUUUCGCUCAGUGAUAUCCAGGCACGAAUGGUUUUAGGCGAUUCCGUUUCCAGCACCAUGUACCCGUUCAUUGUGA
rnacentral:lncRNA from 1 species